AACGUAGGACGCAAGCGUUAUCCGGAGUUACUGGGCGUAAAGCGCGGGCAGGCGGCUCGAUGCGUCUGAUGUGAAAUCUCCUCGCUCAACGGGGAGAGGCCAUUGGAAACGGUCGAGCUGGAGGGCAGUAGAGGCAGGCGGAAUUCCGGGUGGAGUGGUGAAAUGCGUAGAGAUCCGGAGGAACACCAGAGGCGAAGGCGGGUCUCUGGGCCGAUACUGACGCUGAGGAGCGAAAGCGUGGGGAGCGAACAGG
rnacentral:rRNA from 1 species